rnacentral:lncRNA from 1 species
CCAUCUCAUGCAACCUGGAAGGUUGUCUUUUAUGUGAGGACUGACUGUAUUAACUACAGUAAGAAGCAUGCACAUGUGAUUAGAACAUGGUGUUCGAGUUCGGUAAUUUUAGAAAAAGUUUGAUUUUGAUUGCAAUUUCUUCUGACUUCUAACGGAUUUAUGCAGGUCACUGAAGUUUUAAUAUCAUACAAUGGACAGAAUUUAUAAACAAUGUCAGCCCACUGCAGUGGGUGGCG